CGUAGGUAACCUGCCCAGAAGCGGGGGACAACAUUUGGAAACAGAUGCUAAUACCGCAUAACAACGUUGUUCGCAUGAACAACGCUUAAAAGAUGGCUUCUCGCUAUCACUUCUGGAUGGACCUGCGGUGCAUUAGCUUGUUGGUGGGGUAACGGCCUACCAAGGCGAUGAUGCAUAGCCGAGUUGAGAGACUGAUCGGCCACAAUGGGACUGAGACACGGCCCAUACUCCUACGGGAGGCAGCAGUAGGGAAUCUUCCACAAUGGGCGCAAGCCUGAUGGAGCAACACCGCGUGAGUGAAGAAGGGUUUCGGCUCGUAAAGCUCUGUUGUUAAAGAAGAACACGUAUGAGAGUAACUGUUCAUACGUUGACGGUAUUUAACCAGAAAGUCACGGCUAACUACGUGCCAGCAGCCGCGGUAAUACGUAGGUGGCAAGCGUUAUCCGGAUUUAUUGGGCGUAAAGAGAGUGCAGGCGGUUUUCUAAGUCUGAUGUGAAAGCCUUCGGCUUAACCGGAGAAGUGCAUCGGAAACUGGAUAACUUGAGUGCAGAAGAGGGUAGUGGAACUCCAUGUGUAGCGGUGGAAUGCGUAGAUAUAUGGAAGAACACCAGUGGCGAAGGCGGCUACCUGGUCUGCAACUGACGCUGAGACUCGAAAGCAUGGGUAGCGAACAGGAUUAGAUACCCUGGUAGUCCAUGCCGUAAACGAUGAGUGCUAGGUGUUGGAGGGUUUCCGCCCUUCAGUGCCGGAGCUAACGCAUUAAGCACUCCGCCUGGGGAGUACGACCGCAAGGUUGAAACUCAAAGGAAUUGACGGGGGCCCGCACAAGCGGUGGAGCAUGUGGUUUAAUUCGAAGCUACGCGAAGAACCUUACCAGGUCUUGACAUCUUGCGC
rnacentral:rRNA from 1 species